GUAAAGAUAACUUAAUUUUAAAGCAUCGGCCUUGUAAGUCGAAGAUGUAAGUUAAAAUCUUACUCCUUACU
rnacentral:tRNA from 1 species